ACUGGCCUCAAGUGAUUUACCCACCUUGGCCUCCCAAAUUUCUGGGAUUACAGGCAUGAGCCACCGAGCGCAGUCCUGACUCUGCUCUUGGGAUACCUGAGAGUACUGUGUUAUAUGAAUAUCUGAUCUACCUAUGGAUUCAGCCGACCUAAAGUUGUUGAAUUCUUAAGCCACCACCCCCUUCUCACCAGGCGCUUCUUGCCGCUGCCAUGAGAAGAAGGAUGUUUGCUUCCCCCUCUGCCAUGAUUGUUAAGUUUCCUGAGGCCUCCUGAGCCAUGCUGAACUGCUGGAAAAAUAAAACAAAAUGAAAUGAAACCUGAAAUUGACAAGUGUUGGAAAGGAUACAGAGAAUUUGGAACACUUCUGCAUUGUUGGUGAGAAUAUAAAAUGAUGGAGCUGCUAUAGAAAAUGGUAUGGUGAUUCUUCAAAAAUUUAAACAUAGAAUUACAAUGUAAUCCAGCAAUUCCCUCUCUAAGUAC
rnacentral:lncRNA from 1 species